UAAAAUUAAGAAAUAAUUCAUGGGGGCUUGAAUGUAUCGUGAUUUUACCACGGGUUGGCCCUUUAUGACAAAUAUUUUACCCCUGAGCGAUAGCGAGGGGUAAAAUAUCGGCAUAAAGGGACAACCCGUGGUAAAAUCUAGAUAUAUUCAAGCCCCCAUGAAUUAUUUCGAUUCUGAUAGGACACAUACGGCAAUUCUUUUGGAUCGAAGCGCUCUAGGUGUAGGCAAAUAUUUGCCGUUCCCAUAAAUAAAC
rnacentral:lncRNA from 1 species